CCUACGGGUGGCAGCAGUGGGGAAUAUUGGACAAUGGGGGAAACCCUGAUCCAGCGACGCCGCGUGAGUGAAGAAGUAUUUCGGUACGUAAAGCUCUAUCAGCAGGAAAGAAAAUGACGGGACCUGACGAAGAAGCCGCGGCGAACGACGUGCCAGCAGCGGCGGUAAGACGUAGGGGGCAAGCGUGAGCCGGAUUUACUGGGUGUAAAGGGAGCGUAGACGGCAGCGGUAGUCUGGAUUGAAAUGCCGGGGCCCAACCCCGGAACUGCUCUGGAAACUGUGAAGCUGGAGUGCAGGAGAGGUAAGCGGAAUUCCUGGUGUAGCGGUGAAAUGCGUAGAUAUCAGGAGGAACACCUGCGGCGAAGGCGGCUUACUGGACUGUAACUGACGUUGAGGCUCGAAGGCGUGGGGAGCAAACAGGAUUAGAUACCCCAGUAGUC
rnacentral:rRNA from 1 species